CAGCCUUUCUGCGCACUCGGUUUCUGAUUCUGCUCGCUCGGCUGUUGGGAGUUUUGGUACUCUGGAGGCAUGGAAGAAUUAAAGUGCCAGAAACUGAGCAGUUGAACUUUCAAUUUGAGAGCAGAAUUUCAUAUCAAGAGACCAUCUUUUUAAUUUCAGAAUACGAUUUUAUAUUAUUGCUCUCAAAACUUGAAAUGCUUGCGCUCAAAAUGUCUGCUCUCUUUCAAAUUCACUCUGUUCUCCUUCAAAUCUUUGUUUUUGCGCUCAGAUUUAACCUUCUUACACUGGUAUUGUCUUCUCAUGUGACAACUUUUUCUCUGCACGGAUCAAAACUCCUCCCACAAGUCUGUCCCCUGCUCUCACGGAUCUUGUCUGUCUCGCUCAAAACUUAGAAGUACAAUCUCCUAGCAACCGCUCAGCCAAUAGAAAGACUUGUGGGACUGGGCGGGAACAAACCUCUUUGGGGUGCGCUCGUUUUUCGCUCUGUUGAUUUUCCUGUGUGGCUGCCGCAUCUGCGCACUAACAGCCUGGCUAAUACCCGCUCUGAUCUGGAGCGGAAGUUUCACCUGCACCAGCAAAAUGGACCAGAACCAACAAGACGCUCAAACUGGUUCCAUCAGAGAAGUUACGAGAAACCUUAUGGAUUUACUGAAUGCUCAUCUACAAGCAGAGGGCCCGCAACAAACACCAACUGUGCCACAGCGCACAACACCUUAACAGACUAUCCCUCGGUCUACAGUUCAUCAAGAAAUGUCAAGGAUUUCCAAGAGCCAGACAUCGACUGGGAUGUUGCAACAGAGUACAGCCCAGAUGUGGACGGUGCUGUUGUGGUCCCGGAGUUCGAC